AGUGAACGCUGGCGGCGUGCUUAACACAUGCAAGUCGAACGAGAACGGGUUAUAGCUUGCUAUAAUUGUCAGCUAAGUGGCGCACGGGUGAGUAGUGUAUAGGUAAUAUGCCUCUUACUAAGGGAUAACAAUUGGAAACGAUUGCUAAUACCUUAUACUCCUUAUUAACAGAAGUUAAUAAGGGAAAGAUUUAUUGGUAAGAGAUUAGCCUGUAUUGUACCAGUUAGUUGGUGGGGUAAUGGCUUACCAAGACUAUGACACAUAACUGGUUUGAGAGGAUGAUCAGUCACGCUGGAACUGAGACACGGUCCAGACUCCUACGGGAGGCAGCAGUGGGGAAUAUUGCACAAUGGACGAAAGUCUGAUGCAGCAACGCCGCGUGGAGGAUGACACAUUUCGGUGCGUAAACUCCUUUUAUAUGAGAAGAUAAUGACGGUAUUAUAUGAAUAAGCACCGGCUAACUCCGUGCCAGCCGCCGCAGUAC
rnacentral:rRNA from 1 species